rnacentral:rRNA from 1 species
UGCAUAAUCAUUAGUCUUUUAAUUUGAGACUGGAAUGAAAGAGUAAACCGGGAGAAUUUUUUUUCAGUUGAGAAAAUGAAUUUUACUUUUUAGUAAGAAGGCUAAAAUUUAACUUUUAGACAAGAAGACCCUAUAAAACUUUAUAUUUUUAUUUCUUAGUUGAAAGAAGAAGUAUUUCGCUGGGGCGGUGGAGGAAAGCCCUUCCUUUAAAAAAAAUAAACUUUCUUGUUUAAAUACCUAGAAAUUCUAAACUAGAAAUAAGUUACUUUAGGGAUAACAGCUUAAUUUACUUAGAAAGAUCAAAUUGACAAGUAAGUUUAUGACCUCGAUGUUGAAUUAAAAGACCUUUUUUGUGCAAAAGCUAAAAA